GUAAUGACGUCUGCCUAUGAAAGAAGAGACAACAGCACCCAGGUCCUGGGCGCCCCGUACAGGCCACAAAGCCAGGUCCUGGGUGCUCAGUACAGACCACAAGACCAGGUCCUGGGCGCCCUGUACAGGCCACAAAGC